rnacentral:rRNA from 1 species
AGCGAACGCUGGCGGCAGGCCUAACACAUGCAAGUCGAACGGAUCCUUCGGGAUUAGUGGCGGACGGGUGAGUAACACGUGGGAACGUGCCCUUUGGUUCGGAACAACUCAGGGAAACUUGAGCUAAUACCGGAUGUGCCCUUCGGGGGAAAGAUUUAUCGCCAUUGGAGCGGCCCGCGUCUGAUUAGCUAGUUGGUGAGGUAACGGCCCACCAAGGCGACGAUCAGUAGCUGGUCUGAGAGGAUGAUCAGCCACACUGGGACUGAGACACGGCCCAGACUCCUACGGGAGGCAGCAGGGGGGGAUCUUGCGCAAUGGGCGAAAGCCUGACGCAGCCAUGCCGCGUGAAUGAUGAAGGUCUUAGGAUUGUAAAAUUCUUUCAGCGGGGACGAUAAUGACGGUACCCGCAGAAGAAGCUCCGGCUAACUUCGUG